rnacentral:rRNA from 1 species
CAGCCGCCGCGGGAAUACGAAGGGUGCAAGCGUUAAUCGGAAUUACUGGGCGUAAAGCGUGCGUAGGCGGUGAGUUAAGUCUGCUGUGAAAUCCCCGGGCUCAACCUGGGAAUGGCAGUGGAUACUGGCUCGCUAGAGUGUGUCAGAGGAUGGUGGAAUUCCCGGUGUAGCGGUGAAAUGCGUAGAGAUCGGGAGGAACAUCAGUGGCGAAGGCGGCCAUCUGGGACAACACUGACGCUGAGGCACGAAAGCGUGGGGAGCAAGCAGGAUUAGAUACCCCAGUAGUCCCUGUCUCUUAUAC